AGAGUUUGAUCCUGGCUCAGGAUGAACGCUGGCGGCGUGCUUAACACAUGCAAGUCGAACGAACCUUCGGGUUAGUGGCGGACGGGUGAGUAACGCGUGAGAAUCUGCCCUCAGGAGGGGGAUAACGGUUGGAAACGACCGCUAAUACCCCAUAUGCCGAUAGGUGAAAUGAAUUUCGCCUGAGGAUGAGCUCGCGUCUGAUUAGCUUGUUGGUGAGGUAAUGGCUCACCAAGGCUUCGAUCAGUAGCUGGUCUGAGAGGAUGAUCAGCCACACUGGGACUGAGACACGGCCCAGACUCCUACGGGAGGCAGCAGUGGGGAAUUUUCCGCAAUGGGCGAAAGCCUGACGGAGCAACGCCGCGUGAGGGACGAAGGCCUCUGGGCUGUAAACCUCUUUUCUCAAGGAAGAAGAUAUGACGGUACUUGAGGAAUAAGCCACGGCUAAUUCCGUGCCAGCAGCCGCGGUAAUACGGGAGUGGCAAGCGUUAUCCGGAAUUAUUGGGCGUAAAGCGUCCGCAGGCGGCCUUUCAAGUCUGCUGUUAAAGCGUGGAGCUUAACUCCAUUAUGGCAGUGGAAACUGAUCGGCUUGAGUAUGGUAGGGGCAGAGGGAAUUCCCGGUGUAGCGGUGAAAUGCGUAGAUAUCGGGAAGAACACCAGUGGCGAAGGCGCUCUGCUGGGCCAUUACUGACGCUCAUGGACGAAAGCCAGGGGAGCGAAAGGGAUUAGAUACCCCUGUAGUCCUGGCCGUAAACGAUGAACACUAGGUGUCGGGGGAAUCGACCCCUUCGGUGUCGUAGCUAACGCGUUAAGUGUUCCGCCUGGGGAGUACGCACGCAAGUGUGAAACUCAAAGGAAUUGACGGGGGCCCGCACAAGCGGUGGAGUAUGUGGUUUAAUUCGAUGCAACGCGAAGAACCUUACCAGGGUUUGACAUCCUGAGAACCUCUUAGAAAUUUGAGGGUGCCUUCGGGAAUUCAGUGACAGGUGGUGCAUGGCUGUCGUCAGCUCGUGUCGUGAGAUGUUGGGUUAAGUCCCGCAACGAGCGCAACCCACGUUUUUAGUUGCCAGCAUUUAGUUGGGCACUCUAGAAAGACCGCCGGUGAUAAACCGGAGGAAGGUGUGGAUGACGUCAAGUCAUCAUGCCCCUUACACCCUGGGCUACACACGUACUACAAUGCUACGGACAAAGGGCAGCAAACUCGCGAGAGCUAGCAAAUCCCAUAAACCGUGGCUCAGUUCAGAUCGUAGGCUGCAACUCGCCUACGUGAAGUAGGAAUCGCUAGUAAUCGCAGGUCAGCAUACUGCGGUGAAUACGUUCCCGGGCCUUGUACACACCGCCCGUCACACCAUGGAAGUUGGCCAUGCCCGAAGUCGUUACUCCAACCCUUGUGGAGGAGGACGCCGAAGGUGGGGCUAAUGACUGGGGUGAAGUCGUAACAAGGUAGCCGUACCGGAAGGUGCGGCUG
rnacentral:rRNA from 29 species